rnacentral:tRNA from 1 species
GCAUCGGUGGUUCAGUGGUAGAAUACUCGCCUGUCACGCGGGGGUUCGAUUCCCGGCCGAUGCA